rnacentral:rRNA from 1 species
UACGGGGGGUGCGAGCGUUGUCCGGAAUCACUGGGCGUAAAGGGCGCGUAGGUGGCGUGAUAAGGGUGUGGUGAAAGCCCGGGGCUCAACCCCGGGUCUGCCAUGCCGACUGUCAGGCUAGAGUACUGUAGGGGCAGGCGGAAUUCCGGGUGUAGCGGUGAAAUGCGCAGAUAUCGGGAGGAACACCAAUGGCGAAGGCGGAUCUCUGGGCCUUUACCGUGAC